rnacentral:lncRNA from 1 species
GCGCUUCAUACAAAAUGUACUUCGGUCAACGCUUUUACACCCCAAUAAAUUUACAAAAAGAAGCAUUUAAUUCUUAAAUAAAUGAAACUUUUUAAACAUGUGAAAUAAUCUUUAAGUCUAUUUAAGUUGCAUCAGAGUGUAUACUGUAAACAGUGGCAGAUCCAGAAUUUUUUAAAAGUGGGGGCCCACUGACUGUCAAAGAGGGGACAUGCUUUGGUCAUGGACCAGUGAUUCCCAAUAUAACCAAUCAUGAUGCUGUGUGAGAAUCUCAAUUAUAAGAAUUCAUAUUCUGAUAGCUGGUACAUAUAUCUGUAUGGAAGUUUUCAAAGAUCUCAAUAAUAAAUGCACCCAAUAAUUUCAGACUUUACCAUAUAUAAUAACUGAGAAGUAGAUGAUGGAUUACGAAUUUGCAUCGAAAUAUGUGGGUUAGGAUCUGCACAAAAUUUAAUAUAAACUAGGGGGGUUCUUAAAUCCACAUUGAAGGUGGGUUCCCAAAAUCUAAUGUAAUCAUAUAAUGACAUAGAGCUGAAAAAUUUGAUACAGAAAUAAAUUCCAGUGCUAUCUCAAUCCACAUUAUUUAUAGAUGGGGAAUACCAAAAAGCACAUCCUUAACUAUACAACUUUGGCAAGAAAUUGACUCCAUUAAUACAUACAAAUAAAUUAAGUGCAUCUCAAAAUUUAAAAAAAAUACAGGAGUAUAUCUUGGACCCCUAUGGUCGAAGCUAAAUUAUCUGAACAUUUAGAUUAUUACCUACAUGUACAUUAAUGUAAGCCACUGUGCAAAUCUUUGCAGUCCAUCAUUAACUUCGACUAAAUGUAUAAUGUAACAGUGAUAUAUAUAAACUUAAACAUUGCAAUGGUGAACUUCACAAUAAAAAAAAUCCUUGUCUAAUAUCUGUACAGCAAUAAUGUCCUAGAUCUGUAAUUCUCUACAUAUAACACAGUGAGAAUACUGUAAAUUCAGAAAUUAUUUUAUUAUUGCGAAAUGUGAC